rnacentral:lncRNA from 1 species
GUACUCCUGAGCUAAACAGACUGCUCUCUCAAGAAUCCGAUGAGCAUGAAUCACUUCACCAUCAAACACAAGGCUGUUUCGAGACAGCCAAAUCUGAUAAACAAUAUAAACCAUCCGCCCACCAUCCAUAGCCGUCCGAUCAACCACACUCUGACGGAUCAAGCUAAGGAAAGAAAUCAACCAAGGAUGAUCAGUACUCGCCUCCAUGAGGAACUGCCCGUCUGUCUCUAAAUGAUCUUUGCCUUAGGGCAUCGCAAGACAGCAUGCUUCGCAGACUCAUCCUCUAUGCC